GCCAUAGUUCAGUUGGUCAGAACAUGGGGCUGACAAUGCCAUGGAUGCUGGUUCAAUCCCCGUAAGAGACA